UCAACGCUGGCGGCGCGCUUAACACAUGCAAGUCGAACGAGAAAGGGAGCAAUCCUGAGUAAAGUGGCGCACUGGUGAGUAACACGUGGAUAUCUACCUCCUGGUGGGGAAUAACCUGGGGAAACCUGGGCUAAUACCGCAUAAGUUCGAGAGAAGAAAGGCGCAAGUCGCCGGGAGAGGAGUCCGCGGUCGAUUAGGUAGUUGGCAGGGUAAAAGCCUUCCAGGCCGAAGAUCGAUAGCCGGCCUGAGAGGGCACACGGCCACACUGGCACUGAAACACGGGCCAGACGCCUACGGGAGGCAGCAGUGGGGAAUCUUGCACAAUGGGGGAAACCCUGAUGCAGCGACGCCGCGUGAGCGAUGAAGCCCUUCGGGGUGUAAAGCUCUUUCGGCAGGAACGAUAAUGACGGUACCUGCAGAAGAAGCUGCGGCUAACUACGUGCCAGCAGCCGCGGUAAUCUGAUGGCGCGAGG
rnacentral:rRNA from 1 species